rnacentral:siRNA from 1 species
UACAUCAGACUUUUCGAGCUGAA